rnacentral:ncRNA from 1 species
AUAGAAUCAGUUUGUGAGGAAGACGCCAUAGGCGUGGGGAUCGCGUGUGUCCCUCCGGUGAAAAUCCGGUACUGUACUCAACAACCGUAAAGCCAACGAAAGGGCAGAUGCCACUGGUAUUCCGCAUGCGGAAGGCCGGGAAGGCGCCCGAGUAGGCAAAAGCCGCGCUGUAAGCGGCCUAUGGGCAAAGUCGGGAUAUUCCUGCUGAUUCGUGAAGAU